rnacentral:rRNA from 1 species
ACGCGAAGAACCUUACCAGGUCUUGACAUCUUGCGCCAACCCUAGAGAUAGGGCGUUUCCUUCGGGAACGCAAUGACAGGUGGUGCAUGGUCGUCGUCAGCUCGUGUCGUGAGAUGUUGGGUUAAGUCCCGCAACGAGCGCAACCCUUGUUACUAGUUGCCAGCAUUAAGUUGGGCACUCUAGUGAGACUGCCGGUGACAAACCGGAGGAAGGUGGGGACGACGUCAGAUCAUCAUGCCCCUUAUGACCUGGGCUACACACGUGCUACAAUGGACGGUACAACGAGUCGCGAACUCGCGAGGGCAAGCAAAUCUCUUAAAACCGUUCUCAGUUCGGACUGCAGGCUGCAACUCGCCU